UAUGUCUGUUACGGUCCAUGUAUUUUAUCUAUCGUGUCCGAUACCUUAAAACUUAAAUAGCCUAUGAACGCACCGGAACAACUCAGUAUUAGCUGAACACAACCCCUUCCGGAAACGUCAUUUUGGCGGGAAGCAGCAGCUACUUUGUCUGGCUGACAACAAGCGUCAUUUUAAAUACAUAUGUUACUGUAAUCAAUGCUCCGGCGCUAAACACUGACAUAAAGCUGACCAACCCAUUUCGCGAAGCUAAUGCUAAGAUGUCAACUUCAUCUGUGUCAAAGGGCUGUUUCGUUUUCAAGCCAAGUGCUAAGAAGAAAAAGACGUUCAGUUUGGAGGAAUCUUUCACUGACGGUUGUGAAGGUGCUGAAAACAGUGAAGUACGAUUCAAACUCUGUCAGGAACUGUGGGACAAAAUCAAAACAGACACAGAGGUUUUACAGGAUGAACUCAACAGGAAAAUCCUGGACAGCUUGCUGGACUUCACCAGAAAGUGCUCUUCCACUCGUCAACACAGCGACUGGGCAUCACAGAUGAGAGCUAGCGAGAUUCCCACGGCAGCUCUAGUCCUCGGUGUGAAUGUCCCGGAUCAUGACAUGACCUUCCAGAGUCUGUCUGAGUUGCUCCAGCAGUCAGUCACUCCUCAUGUGGCCUCUGUACAGGCUAAAGAGUGUGGAGCGUUGAAGCAUUUGAUGAAGAGGGUGCUGGAGAGGUUAAUGGGUACUGUUGUGGCUGUGGAUGAUGAGGAGGAGGCAGAGGAGGCAGCUGAGCAGACCAGUGCUCAGCUCCACAAGAGCGUACACUGCUCCCUCAGUACACUGUGUGACUGGUACAAUACAAAAACAAGGAAAUCCAGCACUGGUACUCCCGGGAAAAAGCGUAGUUCUCCAGCCAAAGAUGAACAGCAGCAGCCUCCUGUUGUAGUUAUUUUCAAAGACUUGGAGGCUUUCAAUCCAAGAGUUCUUCAAGACUUCAUACUCAUCUGCAGUCGAUACAUUGAACGUCUUCCGCUGAUGUUCAUCUUUGGCAUCGCCACGUCCCCCAGCACCAUCCAGCACAUGCUGCCUCACUCCGUGUCCUCCUUGCUGUGUAUAGAGCUCUUCCAGUCACUGUCCUGCACCCAGCACCUGGCCACAGUCAUAGACAAGUUGAUCCUGACACCUCGGUUCCCUUUUAAGCUCAAUGGUAAAGUGAUGCAGGUGCUGAUUAGCAUGUUCCUCUACCACGAUUUCUCAGUGAGAAACUUCAUCAAGGGCGUUCAGCUGGCUCUGCUGGAGCACUUCCACUCCCAGCCUCUUAGUGUUUUGUGCUGUAACAAGAAGGAAGCUCUGCUUAACGUGAUGCAGCUCAAUCACCGCGAUUUGGAGAGGAUCAGGCAGCUGAUGUCUUUCAAGAGGUAUGUAGAGAAGCAGGAACAGCAGGAACAGGUCAAUCUGUUGAAGGAUGACAGUCAUUUAAAGGAGGUGUGCCAGAGGCUGAUAAAGGACCUUCGCGAGUACCACAAGAACUAUUACCCCAUCCUGAGGUGUCUCCACACUCUGACCUCUUCAUUACCUCGGUACCCCCUCGGAAAACAGAUCAGGGAGCUUCAUCUAAUAUGCCUUGAGAAGAGCGUGUGGGAAAAUGAGGAUUACCAGUCAGCCAUGAAGCUUCUGAAGAUGCUGGCGAAAGACGAGCUGAUCACUUUGCUCCAGAGGUGUGCAGAGAUUCUGCAGCCUGUCAAGACAAAGAAGAUGAAUAAAGCUCUUGUCCAGCUGGAGGAGCUGCUCGCCAAAUUUCAGCAGUUGGACACAGCACCUGUUGAAACUGCCCCCAUUGUGGAAGAGAGUUUCACUUCUCCAGUAAAAGAUCUUCAGAAGAAAACAGAUCUCUUCCAGCUACAGAAGACGCUGCUGGAGAUGAACGAGUCUCGGAGAUCCAAGAAGCUGAGUCCGUUUGAGGUUCUACGAAAUGAAGCCCUCGAGUUCAUCGACGACUUAGUGAAGAGUCACCUGUCUCCCCCAGAGUCUCAGACACUGAACGAAGUCUGCUACUACAGCUCGUCUGCCACUGUGAGACGCCACCUCAACGCAACUCCCCGUACCUCCAUUCAAGCUGCUCUCAGCAGCCCCUACUAUUACAUUCAGAAUGACAACCUCAAGACUGAGGAUGGGUCGGUCUCUAAUACUGCUCCUGAUAUCUGCAUUGCUUACAAACUUCAUCUGGAGUGCGGCAGGUUGAUCAACCUCUAUGACUGGCUAGAGGCUUACGCCACCGUGGUUUCUGCAGCUGAGGGUAACGAUCCAGAUUCUGACAAUUUCCGCAAAGUGGAUGAAGUCAAGCAUGCCCGUUUCAUCCAAGCUGUGUCCGAGCUCGAAUUUCUGGGCUUCAUCAAAUCCACCAAGCAGAAGACCGACCACGUGGCUCGACUCACCUGGGGAGGCUGCUGACCAACGCACUCGGAGGAAAAGACCUGCACGUCUGUGGAUAGUCUCAUUUCAUUGUAGCGCUUACCAGCUCAACAUGUUGCUAAUACCUCACAAGCGCCUGGCCGAUCACCAAGCAGGCCAACCUGGCCAACAUCAGUAAAAAAAUUACCUGCACUAAGUCUGGA